AGAUAGAGCACUACAAAGGCGCCUC
rnacentral:piRNA from 1 species